rnacentral:sRNA from 1 species
AGGGGGGGAAACAGAGUUACGGGCGUGAGAAGUAUCAAACUCCGCCCGAGUCUUCAGAUGCGUUUCUGACCUUUUCUUCCUUCAUUUGUUUUAACAACUCAUGAGGGACGCUGGUUAUUUAUUCUCCGAUACGCCGGCCAAUCAUCUUGCGUUUUUGUGUCUGAUCCUCCCAUUUCCUGCACCUAACGAGUCUGACCAGCCAGCAGCUUCCCGUAACACGAGCUUUACCAAACAGUACAUACCCGAUUGACUUCUCAACCAUUUACCUAGACAUUUUUCUUUGCGUCUAUCAUCAGGCUUUAAAUUAACUUUAGGGCUUGCUAUGAUACUGAUUAAGCUCCUUCAGCCUUUCUUCUAGCGGUGGGAGCCGUGAAUCGAGAAAGAGGGCAAAGCCAGGGUUCUAUUUCCUGUGGCAAUAAAAGGACGAAUAAAAGUGAAAUGAGGAAAAAAAAUGA